UACGUAGGGGGCAAGCGUUGUCCGGAUUUAUUGGGCGUAAAGAGCGUGUAGGCGGCCAGACAGGUCCGUUGUGAAAACUCGAGGCUCAACCUCGAGACGCCGAUGGAAACCGUCUGGCUAGAGUCCGGAAGAGGAGAACGGAAUUCCCAGUGUAGCGGUGAAAUGCGCAGAUAUUGGGAAGAACACCAGUGGCGAAGGCGGUUCUCUGGGACGGUACUGACGCUGAGACGCGAAAGCGUGGGGAGCGAACAGG
rnacentral:rRNA from 1 species